CCUACGGGAGGCAGCAGUGGGGAAUUUUGCGCAAUGGGCGAAAGCCUGACGCAGUAAUGCCGCGUGAUCGAAGAAGCUUCGAGGAGUGUAAAGAUCUGUCGUUAGGGAAGAAAUGGAGUUAAUCUAACAAAUUAACACCUUGACGGUACCUAGCAAGAAAGCCCCGGCUAACUUCGUGCCAGCAGCCGCGGUAAUACGAGGGGGGCAAGCGUUAUCCGGAUUCAUUGGGCGUAAAGGGUUCGUAGGCGGACCGAUCAGUCAAAAUUGAAAGACCCUGACUUAAUCAGGGGGACGGUUUUGA
rnacentral:rRNA from 1 species